rnacentral:snRNA from 1 species
GUGCUCGCACAUAUAUUAAAUUUGGAAUGAUACACAAAAGACUAACAUGGCUCUCGAUCAAGGAUGAAUCACAAAUUCAUGAAGUGUUCCAUGUUGGG